GUGGGGAAUUUUGCGCAAUGGGCGAAAGCCUGACGCAGCGACGCCGCGUGGGUGAUGAAGGCCUUCGGGUCGUAAAGCCCUGUGGGGAGGGAAGAAUAUGGGGUGGAGAACAUCCAUUCCGAUGACGGUACCUCCUUAGCAAGCACCGGCUAACUCUGUGCCAGCAGCCGCGGUAAGACAGAGGGUGCGAACGUUGUUCGGAAUUACUGGGCGUAAAGCGCGUGUAGGUGGCUACGCAAGUCGGGUGUGAAAGCCCUGGGCUCAACCGAGGAAGUGCAUUCGAAACUGCGUGGCUCGAGUUCCGGAGAGGAUGGUGGAAUUCUCGGUGUAGAGGUGAAAUUCGUAGAUAUCGAGAGGAACACCUGUGGCGAAGGCGGCCAUCUGGACGGUAACUGACACUGAGACGCGAAAGCGUGGGUAGCAAACAGGAUUAGAUACCCUGGUAGUCC
rnacentral:rRNA from 1 species